rnacentral:rRNA from 1 species
CCUACGGGUGGCAGCAGUGGGGAAUAUUGGGCAAUGGGCGCAAGCCUGACCCAGCAACGCCGCGUGAAGGAAGAAGGCUCUCUGGUUGUAAACUUCUUUUUUCAGGGACGAAGCAUGUGACGGUACCUGAUUAUUAAGCCACGGCUAACUACGUGCCCGCAGCCGCGGUAUUACGUAGGUGGCAAGCGUUAUCCGGAUUUACUGGGUGUAAAGGGCGUGUAGGCGGGAAAGCAAGUCAGAUGUGAAAACCAUGGGCUCAACCUGGGGCCUGCCGUUGAAACUGUUUUUCUUGAGUACGGGGAAGGCAGACGGAAUUCCUAGUGUAGCGGUGAAAUGCGUAGAUAUUAGGAGGAACCCCAGUGGCGAAGGCGGUCUGCUGGACAGCAACUGACGCUGAGGCGCGAAGGCGUGGGGAGCAAACAGGAUUAGAUACCCGAGUAGUC